CCUACGGGAGGCAGCAGUGGGAAUCUUGGACAAUGGGGGCAACCCCGAUCCAGCCAUGCCGCGUGUGUGAAGAAGGCCUUCGGGUUGUAAAGCACUUUCAGUAGGGAGGAAGGCUUACCGUUAAUAGCGGUGAGUACUUGACGUUACCUACAGAAGAAGCACCGGCUAAUUUCGUGCCAGCAGCCGCGGUAAU
rnacentral:rRNA from 1 species